ensembl:lncRNA
AUUUUUCCAGGUGGAUGCAAGCACCUAGACAGAAAUCCUGAGCCAGUGAAGCUGCCAGGUUGCAUGGCUUGUUACAAACAAAAUAUUCAGGUCAUUUCACUCUUACAUUCAUAAACGCAGGCCCUCUUUCUAACAAAUCUUGGACUGAACUAAUUCUUGGUGAGACUAUUUUGUGAUUAUGCUUGGUGGAAAGAUGCUAAUUUUUUUUGUCCUUAGGAGUAAGAGAAGACAAUCUGUAUGCAGAAAUAAUGAAAAUAAUCCUAAAAAAAAGAUGGAAAAAAGAAAACUUGUUUUGACUGGCACUCUGAUUUUCCCAUGACUACUGUAAAUUUGAUACAGUGGAAUCUUAAUCAAGAUGCCUUGGCAGAAGGCCUUUUGUAUCUCUUAAGAAUACUUGGUUAACCAAAGACAUUGCUUGAAUAAUAAUUUCCUUGGGAAGAUACUGCGCCCAUCAAAUGGUUGAGAGGUUCUCAAGCCCCUGUGUACAAACUGCAAUGCUGAAAAAUACUUGGUCAUCUGGAUCCUUUGUAAGCAGCGAGCUGCAGGUGCCUGUGUUUGGGCAAAAUUGUGUCAUCAAGAGUGGCUGUGAGACCCUGUCGUAGUGACUGAGGUGUGCACUGAGCCCCAGCUUAGUGCUGAGAUGCAGGAGUGAGCACUGGACAGGCUAUUCACUGGACAGUGAUGGAAACACUCAUCAAGUGACCAGAGGAAAUGAACUGGUGAAUUACAGAGAUACUAAGGCCUUGUGGGUUGCAAGUGUGUCAUGAGACUGUGCACUUGAUGUACGAAGCAGUUGUCUGUAUUUCAUAAUGGUCACUGAGAACAUAAAUUUGAUUAGAAUUCAUUCUUUUGCCAUAAAAAAUUAUGAUAUUGUAGCAGUAAACAAUAGUCACAAGACAGUUUUCCAUUAAAAACACCUCUUCUUGGCUAAAAUUCAGCAACUGGCAUGUGCCAAAGACUUUCUUGUCCUAAUGAAUCAAGAAGCGCUCAGAAUCCUACAAAACAGUUUUCUCCCAUCAGAAGAAGAUCAUAAUAUCAUCCUCAACACAUUUACUUUCCGCAAGUUUGAUCUGUUGUGCCUCAGCUCCAUCCCAUCUAGAUACACAUCAGUCACCAAACAAAGAAAGGAAAACAACAUCUCAUUCUGUUUGUCUUCAGUAUCACCACUGUGGAUUUCCUGA